UCAAAAUUACUUUGUUUUAGCUUUAUUUUGUAGUUUACACAAUUAGCAACCUUUUUAAAUGUAUCUGGCGGUUGAGAAACACAAAAUAAUAGCUAAAUAUUGUCAAUUUAAAUACAAGUUAUCACAGAUGCUGUAAAAUUGACGCCAUAUUUAUGCAGCAAUAUAAGCAAAACUUAUUGAACUUCACUCUUCAGACAUCAUUUUCUCUUUGGCGUACCAUCUAAAAUCUCUUCAUCUUAGCAUAAUUUUACAAAGUACUAAACAUAUUUUUUGAGAAACGCUUAUGCAUACCGCUUGAGAAACGUAUAAAAAAUUAAGAAAAUUGAAUAUAGUCAUAUUAAACCAAGUGGAAAAGUAUAUAUAUUCAUUAUUUUUGAGCGCAUAGAAAAGAUUCUGAGCUGGCCAUAUAUAUUAGGUCAUCUCACCGCAUCACUAGAAAUCAGAAAAUCCAAGUUCUUUAAACAGGUAGUUGAUCAACACUUUAUCCGUUAGUUAUUCAGAUUUCAGAACUAAACCGGUUUAAAUAUAUAGUGUAUAAUAGAGUAUUUAUAAACGAUAUGUUAUGUUCAGUGCCAAUAAGUUGGACACAUACGCAAAAUAACUUUAUAUUUAUAAGUAAUAGAGCUUUUGCAGAUGACGUCACAGCCGCCAUGUUGGUGUUGCUGCACUCACGUGCUCGUUUGAUGCAUGCUGAAUUGUAAAAAAUAUGAACGACUAUACAUGGGUCCCGAAAAAAUAGUCCAGUCGAAUCACCAUAAGUACAUGGUCCUGAUCAAAGUAAUGCAAUAGAUUUUUUCAGUGGUAAAGUGUGAAAAAAGGUGUUCUGAUUAAUAUAUUAAAAAUCCCAAAAAAUCCCUUCGGUGGAACAUGGUAAAAAUCGAGUUUUUCUUACU